rnacentral:rRNA from 1 species
AGCGAACGUUAGCGGCGGGCCUAACACAUGCAAGUCGAGCGAGAAAGUGGCUUCGGCCACGAGUAAAGCGGCGGACGGGUGAGUAACACGUAGGUAAUCUUCCCUUGAGCGGGGGACGACGAGCCGAAAGGCUCGCUAAUACCGCAUGCGUUUCCAGAGGCCCCGGUCUCUGGAAGGAAAGCUAGGCCGCAAGGUCUGGCACUCGAGGAGGAGCCUGCGUCGCAUCAGCUCGUUGGUGGGGUAACGGCCUACCAAGGCGAAGACGCGUAGCUGGUCUGAGAGGAUGAUCAGCCACACUGGGACUGAGACACGGCCCAGACUCCUACGGGAGGCAGCAGUGGGAAAUAUUGGACAAUGGGCGCAAGCCUGAUCCAGCCACGCCGCGUGAGUGAUGAAGGCCUUCGGGUCGUAAAGCUCUGUGGGGAGGGACGAACCGCUGCACGUUCAUAGCGUGCAGCAUGACGGUACCUCCUUAGCAAGCACCGGCUAACUUCGUGCCAGCAGCCGCCGCCG